rnacentral:rRNA from 1 species
CGCUGGCGGCGUGCCUAACACAUGCAAGUCGAACGGGACUCAGCCCUUCGGGACUGAGUUUAGUGGCGAACGGGUGAGUAACGCGUGAGGAGCCUGCCUUUCAGUGGGGGACAACAGUUGGAAACGACUGCUAAUACCGCAUAAUGCUUUUUGAUGGCAUCAUUGAAAAGCCAAAGAUUUAUUGCUGAAAGAUGGCCUCGCGUCUGAUUAGCUAGUUGGUGAGGUAACGGCCCACCAAGGCGACGAUCAGUAGCCGGACUGAGAGGUUGAACGGCCACAUUGGGACUGAGAUACGGCCCAGACUCCUACGGGAGGCAGCAGUGGGGAAUAUUGGGCAAUGGGCGCAAGCCUGACCCAGCAACGCCGCGUGAAGGAAGAAGGCUUUCGGGUUGUAAACUUCUUUUGUCAGGGACGAGUAGAAGACGGUACCUGACGAAUAAGCCACGGCUAACUACGUG